UAGGGAAUCUUCCGCAAUGGACGCAAGUCUGACGGAGCAACGCCGCGAGAGUGAAGAAGGAUUUCGGUUCGUAAAACUCUGUUGUUAGAGAAGAACAGCGCAUAGAGUAACUGUUAUGCGUGUGACGGUAUCUAACCAGAAAGCCACGUCUAACUACGUGCCAGCAGCCGCGGUAAUACGUAGGUGGCAAGCGUCGUCCGGAUUUAUUGGGCGUAAAGCGAGCGCAGGCGGUCAAUUGAGUCUGAUGUGAAAGCCCCCGGCUCAACCGGUGAGUUUCAUUGGUAUCUGGUUGACUUGAGUGCAGAGUACGUGAGUUGAAUUCCUUGUGUAGCGGUGAAAUGCGUAGAUAUUUAGAGGAUCACCGGUGGCGAAAGCGGCUCUCUGGUCUGUAUCUGACGCUGUGGCACGAAAGCGUGGGGAGCGAACAGG
rnacentral:rRNA from 1 species